rnacentral:rRNA from 1 species
AUUGAACGCUGGCGGCAGGCCUAACACAUGCAAGUCGAGCGGCAGCGGGAAAGUAGCUUGCUACUUUUGCCGGCGAGCGGCGGACGGGUGAGUAAUGCCUGGGGAUCUGCCCAAUCGAGGGGGAUAACUACUGGAAACGGUAGCUAAUACCGCAUACGCCCUACGGGGGAAAGCAGGGGACCUUCGGGCCUUGCGCGAUUGGAUGAACCCAGGUGGGAUUAGCUAGUUGGUGAGGUAACGGCUCACCAAGGCGACGAUCCCUAGCUGGUCUGAGAGGAUGAUCAGCCACACUGGAACUGAGACACGGUCCAGACUCCUACGGGAGGCAGCAGUGGGGAAUAUUGCACAAUGGGGGAAACCCUGAUGCAGCCAUGCCGCGUGUGUGAAGAAGGCCUUCGGGUCGUAAAGCACUUUCAGCGAGGAGGAAAGGUCAGUAGCUAAUAUCUGCUGGCUGUGACGUUACUCGCAGAAGAAGCACCGGCUAACUCCGUGCCAGCAGCCGCCGUAA